GACGAACGCUGGCGGCGUGCCUAAUACAUGCAAGUGGAGCGCUGAAGGUUGGUACUUGUACCGACUGGAUGAGCAGCGAACGGGUGAGUAACGCGUGGGGAAUCUGCCUUUGAGCGGGGGACAACAUUUGGAAACGAAUGCUAAUACCGCAUAAAAACUUUAAACACAAGUUUUAAGUUUGAAAGAUGCAAUUGCAUCACUCAAAGAUGAUCCCGCGUUGUAUUAGCUAGUUGGUGAGGUAAAGGCUCACCAAGGCGAUGAUACAUAGCCGACCUGAGAGGGUGAUCGGCCACAUUGGGACUGCGACACGGCCCAAACUCCUACGGGAGGCAGCAGUAGGGAAUCUUCGGCAAUGGACGAAAGUCUGACCGAGCAACGCCGCGUGAGUGAAGAAGGUUUUCGGAUCGUAAAACUCUGUUGGUAGAGAAGAACGUUGGUGAGAGUGGAAAGCUCAUCAAGUGACGGUAACUACCCAGAAAGGGACGGCUAACUACGUG
rnacentral:rRNA from 1 species